rnacentral:tRNA from 1 species
GCAUCGGUGGUUCAGAGGCGAGAAUGCUCGCCUGCCACGCGGGCUGCCCGGGUUCGAUUCCCGGCCGAUGCA